GACGAACGCUGGCGGCGUGCUUAACACAUGCAAGUCGAACGGAAAGGCCCUGCUUUUGUGGGGUGCUCGAGUGGCGAACGGGUGAGUAACACGUGAGUAACCUGCCCUUGACUUUGGGAUAACUUCAGGAAACUGGGGCUAAUACCGGAUAGGAGCUCCUGCUGCAUGGUGGGGAUUGGAAAGUUUCGGCGGUUGGGGAUGGACUCGCGGCUUAUCAGCUUGUUGGUGGGGUAGUGGCUUACCAAGGCUUUGACGGGUAGCCGGCCUGAGAGGGUGACCGGCCACAUUGGGACUGAGAUACGGCCCAGACUCCUACGGGAGGCAGCAGUGGGGAAUAUUGCACAAUGGGCGGAAGCCUGAUGCAGCAACGCCGCGUGCGGGAUGACGGCCUUCGGGUUGUAAACCGCUUUCGCCUGUGACGAAGCGUGAGUGACGGUAAUGGGUAAAGAAGCACCGGCUAACUACGUGCCAGCAGCCGCGGUGAUACGUAGGGUGCGAGCGUUGUCCGGAUUUAUUGGGCGUAAAGGGCUCGUAGGUGGUUGAUCGCGUCGGAAGUGUAAUCUUGGGGCUUAACCCUGAGCGUGCUUUCGAUACGGGUUGACUUGAGGAAGGUAGGGGAGAAUGGAAUUCCUGGCGGAGCGGUGGAAUGCGCAGAUAUCAGGAGGAACACCAGUGGCGAAGGCGGUUCUCUGGGCCUUUCCUGACGCUGAGGAGCGAAAGCGUGGGGAGCGAACAGGCUUAGAUACCCUGGUAGUCCACGCUGUAAACGGUGGGUACUAGGUGUGGGGUCCAUUCCACGGGUUCCGUGCCGUAGCUAACGCUUUAAGUACCCCGCCUGGGGAGUACGGCCGCAAGGCUAAAACUCAAAGGAAUUGACGGGGCCCCGCACAAGCGGCGGAGCAUGCGGAUUAAUUCGAUGCAACGCGUAGAACCUUACCUGGGUUUGACAUGGAUCGGGAGUGCUCAGAGAUGGGUGUGCCUCUUUUGGGGUCGGUUCACAGGUGGUGCAUGGCUGUCGUCAGCUCGUGUCGUGAGAUGUUGGGUUAAGUCCCGCAACGAGCGCAACCCUUGUUCACUGUUGCCAGCACGUUAUGGUGGGGACUCAGUGGAGACCGCCGGGGUCAACUCGGAGGAAGGUGGGGAUGACGUCAAGUCAUCAUGCCCCUUAUGUCCAGGGCUUCACGCAUGCUACAAUGGCUGGUACAGAGAGUGGCGAGCCUGUGAGGGUGAGCGAAUCUCGGAAAGCCGGUCUCAGUUCGGAUUGGGGUCUGCAACUCGACCUCAUGAAGUCGGAGUCGCUAGUAAUCGCAGAUCAGCAACGCUGCGGUGAAUACGUUCCCGGG
rnacentral:rRNA from 1 species